CUACGGGGGGCAGCAGGCGCGAAACCUCUACAAUGCACGCAAGUGUGAUAGGGGAAUCCCAAGUGCUCAUGCAUUGCAUGGGCUUUUGCCAAGAGUAGAUACCUUGGCGAAUAAGUGGUGGGAAAGACUGGUGCCAGCCGCCGCGGUAACACCAGCGCCACAAGUGGUGACCAAUAUUAUUGGGCCUAAAGCGUUCGUAGUUGGCCAAGUAAAUCUUCUGUGAAAUUGUUCGGCUUAACCGAACGACGUGCAGGAGACACUGCUUGGCUAGGGACCGGGAGGAGUCAGAAGUAUUCCAGGGGGAGCGGUAAAAUGUUAUAAUCCCUGGAAGACUACCUGCGGCGAAGGCGUCUGACCAGAACGGGUCCGACAAUGAGGAACGAAAGCCAGGGGAGCGAACCGGAUUAGAUACCCGGGUAGUC
rnacentral:rRNA from 1 species